rnacentral:rRNA from 1 species
CAACUUGAGAGUUUGAUCCUGGCUCAGAACGAACGCUGGCGGCAGGCUUAACACAUGCAAGUCGAGCGGACCUUUCGGGGUCAGCGGCAGACGGGUGAGUAACACGUGGGAAUCUACCCUUUGGUACGGA